rnacentral:misc_RNA from 1 species
GUGGGAGCUGGCUUGCCUGCGAUGGCGAUGUGUCAGCUUGCUUAUCUGGAACAGGUGUACCGCUAUCGCAGGCAAGCCAGCACCCAC